GUGAGGAAUUUUGCGCAAUGGGGGCAACCCUGACGCAGCGACGCCGCGUGGAGGACGAAGUCUUUCGGGAUGUAAACUCCUGUCAGUGGGGACGAUAAUGACGGUACCCACAGAGGAAGCACCGGCUAACUCCGUGCCAGCAGCCGCGGUAAGACGGAGGGUGCAAGCGUUGUUCGGAAUUACUGGGCGUAAAGCGUACGUAGGCGGCAAGUUAAGUUCAAUGUUAAAGCCCACGGCUCAACCGAGGAGAUGCAUUGAAUACUGGCUAGCUAGAGGGUGUUAGAGGAAGACGGAAUUCCCAGUGUAGCGGUGAAAUGCGUAGAUAUUGGGAGGAACAUCGGUAGCGAAAGCGGUCUUCUGGGACACACCUGACGCUGAGGUACGAAAGCGUGGGGAGCAAACGGGAUUAGAAACCCGAGUAGUCC
rnacentral:rRNA from 1 species